rnacentral:rRNA from 1 species
AUCUAGGGCCAUGCCACCCUGAACAUGCCGAUCUCAUCUGAUUUUGUAAGCUAAGCAGGGUCAGGCCUGAUCAGUACUUGGAUGGGAGACCACUUAGGAAUAUCAGGUGUUGUAGGCA